rnacentral:rRNA from 1 species
UGUGACUGCGUACCUUUUGUAUAAUGGGUCAGCGACUUAUAUUCUGUAGCAAGGUUAACCGAAUAGGGGAGCCGAAGGGAAACCGAGUCUUAACCGGGCGUUAAGUUGCAGGGUAUAGACCCGAAACCCGGUGAUCUAGCCAUGGGCAGGUUGAAGGUUGGGUAACACUAACUGGAGGACCGAACCGACUAAUGUUGAAAAAUUAGCGGAUGACCUGUGGCUGGGGGUGAAAGGCCAAUCAAACCGGGAGAUAGCUGGUUCUCCCCGAAAGCUAUUUAGGUAGCGCCUCGUGAAUUCAUCUCCGGGGGUAGAGCACUGUUUCGGCUAGGGGGCCAUCCCGGCUUACCAACCCGAUGCAAACUGCGAAUACCGGAGAAUGUUAUCACGGGAGACACACGGCGGGUGCUAACGUCCGUCGUGAAGAGGGAAACAACCCAGACCGCCAGCUAAGGUCCCAAAGUCAUGGUUAAGUGGGAAACGAUGUGGGAAGGCCCAGACAGCCAGGAUGUUGGCUUAGAAGCAGCCAUCAUUUAAAGAAAGCGUAAUAGCUCACUGGUCGAGUCGGCCUGCGCGGAAGAUGUAACGGGGCUA